rnacentral:rRNA from 1 species
UGAACGCUGGCGGCGUGCCUAAUACAUGCAAGUCGAGCGAACGGACGAGAAGCUUGCUUCUCUGCUGUUAGCGGCGGACGGGUGAGUAACACGUGGAUAACCUACCUAUAAGACUGGGAUAACUUCGGGAAACCGGAGCUAGUACCGGAUAAUAUUUUGAACCGCAUGGUUCAAAAGUGAAAGACGGUCUUGCUGUCGCUUAUAGAUGGAUCCGCGCUGCAUUAGCUAGUUGGUAAGGUAACGGCUUACCAAGGCAACGAUGCAUAGCCGACCUGAGAGGGUGAUCGGCCACACUGGAACUGAGACACGGUCCAGACUCCUACGGGAGGCAGCAGUAGGGAAUCUUCCGAAAUGGGCGAAAGCCUGACGGAGCAACGCCGCGUGAGUGAUGAAGGUCUUCGGAUCGUAAAACUCUGUUAUUAGGGAAGAACAUAUGUGUAAGUAACUGUGCACAUCUUGACGGUACCUAAUCAGAAAGCCACGGCUAACUACGUG